UUAGAAGUAUUUUCUGGUCAAAUUUGUGCUUUUCACUUUUCAGAGCGAAAGACGCUGUUUUUUGCACUGAUGAGAGACAAAGCUGCAUUUCAUUCAAAAAUGGUUUCUCAAGUGAAAUUGUACUCAAAUUGUGUGAAUUCUACCUAAUUAUAGUAUUGAAACAUGGUUUCAGCUGUUAUAUCAUUAGUUUUAGUUAGAAGUAUUUUCUGGUCAAAUUUGUGCUUUUCAGAGCGCUAGAAGCACUAUUUUGCCAGUUAAGGUCUACUAAGCUGUAUUUCAGUCAAAAAUGGUUUCUCAAGUGAAAUUGUACUCAAAUUGUGUGAAUUCUACCUAAUUAUAGUAUUGAAACAUGGUUUCAGCUGUUAUAUCAUUAGUUUUAGUUAGAAGUAUUUUCUGGUCAAAUUUGUGCUUUUCAGAGCGCUAGAAGCACUAUUUUGCCAGUUAAGGUCUACUAAGCUGUAUUUCAGUCAAAAAUGGUUUCUCAAGUGAAAUUGUACUCAAAUUGUGUGAAUUCUACCUAAUUAUAGUAUUGAAACAUGGUUUCAGCUGUUAUAUCAUUAGUUUUAGUUAGAAGUAUUUUCUGGUCAAAUUUGUGCUUUUCAGAGCGCUAGAAGCACUAUUUUGCCAGUUAAGGUCUACUAAGCUGUAUUUCAGUCAAAAAUGGUUUCUCAAGUGAAAUUGUACUCAAAUUGUGUGAAUUCUACCUAAUUAUAGUAUUGAAACAUGGUUUCAGCUGUUAUAUCAUUAGUUUUAGUUAGAAGUAUUUUCUGGUCAAAUUUGUGCUUUUCAGAGCGAAAGACGCUGUUUUUUGCCAGUUAAGGUCUACUAAGCUGUAUUUCAGUCAAAAAUGGUUUCUCAAGUGAAAUUGUACUCAAAUUGUGUGAAUUCUACCUAAUUAUAGUAUUGAAACAUGGUUUCAGCUGUUAUAUCAUUAGUUUUAGUUAGAAGUAUUUUCUGGUCAAAUUUGUGCUUUUCAGAGCGCUAGAAGCACUAUUUUUGCCAGUUAAGGUCUACUAAGCUGUAUUUCAGUCAAAAAUGGUUUCUCAAGUGAAAUUGUACUCAAAUUGUGUGAAUUCUACCUAAUUAUAGUAUUGAAACAUGGUUUCAGCUGUUAUAUCAUUAGUUUUAGUUAGAAGUAUUUUCUGGUCAAAUUUGUGCUUUUCAGAGCGCUAGAAGCACUAUUUUGCCAGUUAAGGUCUACUAAGCUGUAUUUCAGUCAAAAUGGUUUCUCAAGUGAAAUUGUACUCAAAUUGUGUGAAUUCUACCUAAUUAUAGUAUUGAAACAUGGUUUCAGC
rnacentral:lncRNA from 1 species